CCUACGGGAGGCAGCAGUGAGGAAUAUUGGUCAAUGGACGCGAGCCUGAACCAGCCAAGUCGCGUGAAGGAUGACGGCCCUAUGGGUUGUAAACCUCUUUUAUAAAGGAAUAAAGCGAGGCACGUGUGCCUUUUUGCAUGUACUUUAUGAAUAAGGAUCGGCUAACUCCGUGCCAGCAGCCGCGGUAAUACGGAGGAUCCGAGCGUUAUCCGGAUUUAUUGGGUUUAAAGGGUGCGUAGAUGGGUUGUUAAGUCAGUUGUGAAAGUUUGCGGCUCAACCGUAAAAUUGCAAUUGAUACUGGCAGUCUUGAGUAUAGUUGAGGUAGGCGGAAUGCGUGGUGUAGCGGUGAAAUGCUUAGAUAUCACGAAGAACCCCGAUUGCGAAGGCAGCUUACUAAGCUGUGACUGACAUUGAUGCACGAAAGUGUGGGGAUCAAACAGGAUUAGAUACCCUGGUAGUC
rnacentral:rRNA from 1 species